rnacentral:lncRNA from 1 species
CGGCGAGGCAGAGGAGCCAUUUCACUCUGGUUCUCCUCAUUCCCUGAACACCUUAAGAGCGGUCUCCGCCAUGGCCGUUUACGCCCAGAGCCCUCUCUGGGCUCUCAGUUCAUCUCACUGCCCCCUGUGCCGGACCUGAGGAGCAUUGGUCUCACUGGGCUCACCCCAGAGAGGAAUCCCACUCGACCCCUGGAGGACCCUAAGAGGCCACCUGCCAAGGAGUUCUUCGCCCCUCACCCCUGGGCUGCAAGAGAUUCAGAGGUUGGAUUGUGCAUUUCUGGGUUUGGGUCACAAGGACUCACACCUAUUUGGAUGUACUUAAAAUGUAGUUCCAAAAGGGCUUAGCAUGCAGCCACAAAGCUUCACCUAGUUUUCCAGAACUUGUCAUAAAAGUGCUCUUUUAGACGUAACUUGUGGCCAUGAUUAGCCCUCAAAUAGGAAUCAAAUGAUAAAAUGAAAUAGGAAUUCAAGUAGGAAUAUUGCCCUUUUUUAAGUGGUAAUCCAAAAGUAUUCUUAAUCACUUUAUCCUCUCUCCUAGGAGAAGGCAGGAAAGGUUGGGCAAUAAACAAGAUCCAGUGGGGAUUUUAUGUUUCUUUAUAAAGAAAAGGAUUUCAUUUAGCCUCAUCUAAGCUUGUGGGACUCCGGAUAAAAAUUCUCAGUUGCUGUUUCCCCGCUCCUAGGCCCCCCUCUGGCUAUAUCCACACAAAAUGGCAGAACCCUCAGAAAGAUAGAGACCUCGCAUACUUUUACCUCUAAAAAUACCAUCCUUACUAGCAUAUCUUUACCUCUACCUACUGACCCAAAUACAUUCGGUUCAAGUCCUUUGAAUGAGUGACUGAAACAUAACUAUGUACUUCUCCAGCUCUCCCUUCUAAUCCUGCCAGUGGGCUGAGCUUAGGCAUUCUGGAAGAGCACCAGCAUUCAGAAUUGUUACUAUGUUAAGCUCUUGCUAUGUGCCAAGCACUGUACUAAGCACUGAGGUUACUAGAUCACCAGAUUGGAUACAAUCCCCAUCCCACAGAGGACUCACAGUCUAAGUACGAGGCAGUAGGAUUUAAUCCCCAUUUCACAGUGAGGGAACUGAGGCACAGAGAUGUUUAGAAUGAUGCCAAUUUCAGUGUCCUUAUUCUCUAGAGAUAGACUGCAAAAGAGAAUAGGACAUACAGGACAUUAAAAAAACAAACAGUGUCCAUGGAGAGUAAGGGAAAUUCUGUUUUUUCCAACAAGUGAUGUUCUGAGAUGUAUUGGUAAAAGACGUUCAGAGUAACACUUUUGUCUAGAAUAAAUACUUUUGUAUACAUUUUGAGUAAAGUAUUGUUGUUCUAACACUAUGUCUAAAAUGUUUUAUUAAAAAUGUCCUACUUACCUAUCCGUCCAAAUAUAAAGGCAGCACUGGGAUCAUCCGAUGCCAUACUUUUUUAUAACACAGGCAAAUCACAAUUUGAGACUAUGCACAACCAGCAGACCAAGAGGGAAGAUGGACUAAGCUAAGAGGAUGGAUGGAUACCUACUGAGACAGUGUGGUUCAGUAGGUUGUGAGCACCCACCCCCCAGAGAGAUAGGGGCUGUAUCUAAAUCCCACUUGUAUGUUUUCUUCCACACUUAAUACAGUGCUCUGUAUUAGUAGUAUACUAGUACACUAAUAUAGUAUACUAGUUUAAUAGUAUGCUAUUAUAUUAUGACUAAGAGUCAGAGCCCCUCUCAGGGAAACACCUGGCGAG